rnacentral:rRNA from 1 species
AUGGCACGGAAGAGCGAAGGGAAGAAGACCAGAACCAAAAGAGACCCACCUUCCUCCACCACGGUUCCUCCCCCGCCGCCGGUGGAGCCACAGGCUACGGCGCCGGACAUCUCGAUCGAAGUGCUCGCCGAGUUCGACAUCUUCAGCAUUCUCCGCCGUCUCUGCCUCGCCGACCUCCUCCGUGCCGCCCUCGCCUGCCACCGCUGGCGCCGCCUGGCCGCCAGCUGCCUCCCACGCGCCCCUCCUCUCCUCGGCCACUUCUUCCAUCCAACGGAAGUCAAUCCCCCGUUCCCGCUGGAGGAAACCAAGGAUCCCGACACCCCCGCCGUGUUCGCUCCCCUCGACGCCUCCUCCCCGCGCCUCUCCCUCGACUUCGCUCCGGACGCCGUCCGCUUCUACCUCUACGACUCGCACCGAGGCCUCCUGCUUUGCGAGCCGUCCGACCCCCUUCCCAAGAAGGUCAUCCCCCGCUUCCUCGUCCUCGACCCGGCCACCCGCCGCCGCACGCUCCUCCCGCCCCCGCGCCGCGACACGGUGCCCGAUGACCGCCGCUGGCGCAGCUCGAGGUACUACAUCGGCUCCGCGCUGCUCUCCCGCGCUCACCAGAGCAAGCUCUGCUUCGAGGCUGUCUGCUUCGCCAUCGACGGCGACCACCCUCGCGCCUGGGUCGCGUCCGUCGACAACGGCGACUGCAGCUGGCGCGCGCUCCCGCGGGACGAGGAUGUCGUGGUCGAUUUUGACCCCUGGCUGUUCGAAGGACGCUGCGUGCACGCCGCCGGGAAGAUAUACUGGCACAUCUGCAACUCUGAGCGCGUGCUCGUGCUGGACCCUGUCACGCUCAGGUUCUCCUACCUGCCGGCGCCGCGCGCGCUGCGAAUCGACGCGCUGGCUGUGUGCAAGUACCGCGUCGGGGAGACGCCGGAUGGGCGGGUUUGCUUGGUCACGGACGGCCAGCAGCAGCUGCAUCUCUGGGUGCGCGGGGAGGGCAUGUCGAGCGACAACGGUUGGCUUCUGGAGAGGAGGAUCGUGGACUUGAGCGCGCUGUGCGACAUGAUUCCUGGCAUGCCCAGCAACCGGAUGCUCAGGACCCAUUGCAUCUGGCCCACCGACAUGGACGCCGGUCGCACAGGGAAGGUGUUCAUCAAGACCUGGGGAUUUGGGCGCUACACGUACGAUCUCCACACCGGCAAGAUGGAGCGCCUGCCGACGAGAAGCGGCAAGGACUAUGCGCACCCCGUCUUCGCCUACUCCCUGGCAUGGCCGCCCACGUUCCUCGCUCCAGAGGACUGA